rnacentral:rRNA from 1 species
AUUGAACGCUGGCGGCAUGCCUUACACAUGCAAGUCGAACGGCAGCACGGGAGCAAUCCUGGUGGCGAGUGGCGAACGGGUGAGUAAUAUAUCGGAACGUGCCCGGUCGUGGGGAUAACGUAGCGAAAGCUACGCUAAUACCGCAUACGAUCUAUGGAUGAAAGCGGGGGAUCGCAAGACCUCGCGCGAUUGGAGCGGCCGAUAUCAGAUUAGCUAGUUGGUGAGGUAAAGGCUCACCAAGGCGACGAUCUGUAGCUGGUCUGAGAGGACGACCAGCCACACUGGGACUGAGACACGGCCCAGACUCCUACGGGAGGCAGCAGUGGGGAAUUUUUGGACAAUGGGCGCAAGCCUGAUCCAGCAAUGCCGCGUGCAGGAUGAAGGCCUUCGGUUGUAACGUAGCUUUUGUUACGGUAACGAAACCGGUAGGAGGACUCUAACUACAGCUUGCUAAUGACGGUACCGUAAGAAUAAG